AACCUUAUGGACCUGCGGGCGUAUACCUGCGGAGGGAUCAUUACAGAGUUGCAAAACUCCCACAAACCAUCGCGAAUCUUACCCGUACGGUUGCCUCGGCGCUGGCGGUCCGGAAGGCCCUCGGGCCCCCGGACCCUCGGGUCUCCCGCUCGCGGGAGGCUGCCCGCCGGAGUGCCGAAACCAAACUCUUGAUAUUUUUAUGUCUCUCUGAGUAAACUUUUAAAUAAGUCAAAACUUUUA
rnacentral:misc_RNA from 1 species